CAGGCCUAACACAUGCAAGUCGAGCGGUAACAGAGGGAGCUUGCUCCCGGGUGACGAGCGGCGGACGGGUGAGUAAUGUCUGGGAAACUGCCUGAUGGAGGGGGAUAACUACUGGAAACGGUAGCUAAUACCGCAUAACGUCGCAAGACCAAAGAGGGGGACCUUCGGGCCUCUUGCCAUCAGAUGUGCCCAGAUGGGAUUAGCUAGUAGGUGGGGUAACGGCUCACCUAGGCGACGAUCCCUAGCUGGUCUGAGAGGAUGACCAGCCACACUGGAACUGAGACACGGUCCAGACUCCUACGGGAGGCAGCAGUGGGGAAUAUUGCACAAUGGGCGCAAGCCUGAUGCAGCCAUGCCGCGUGUAUGAAGAAGGCCUUCGGGUUGUAAAGUACUUUCAGCGGGGAGGAAGGUGUUGAGGUUAAUAACCUCAGCAAUUGACGUUACCCGCAGAAGAAGCACCGGCUAACUCCGUGCCAGCAGCCGCGGUAAU
rnacentral:rRNA from 1 species